rnacentral:rRNA from 1 species
GCUAAUACCGCAUGACAUCCGACCGGGGCAUCCCGGACGGAUCAAAGGAGAAAUCCGGUCAGAGAUGAGCUCGCGUCCGAUUAGUUAGUUGGUGGGGUAAUGGCCUACCAAGACCGCGAUCGGUAGCCGGACUGAGAGGUUGAACGGCCACAUUGGGACUGAGACACGGCCCAGACUCCUACGGGAGGCAGCAGUGGGGAAUAUUGGGCAAUGGGCGAAAGCCUGACCCAGCAACGCCGCGUGAAGGAUGAAGGCCCUUGGGUUGUAAACUUCUUUGACGAGGGACGAAAAAAAUGACGGUACCUCGAAAACAAGCCACGGCUAACUACGUGCCAGCAGCCGCGGUAAUACGUAGGUGGCAAGCGUUAUCCGGAUUUACUGGGUGUAAAGGGCGUGUAGGCGGGUCUGCAAGUCGGAUGUGAAAUUUCCAGGCUUAACUUGGAAGGGUCAUUCCGAAACUGCGGAUCUUGAGUACUGGAGAAGAUAGUGGAAUUCCUAG